rnacentral:sRNA from 1 species
GGAUGUGAGGGCGCUCUGGCUGUGACACCUGUCACCCCACUGAUCGCCAGGGUUGAUUCGGCUGAUCUGGCAGCUAGGUGGGUGUCCCCUUCCUCCUCACCACUCCAUGAAGGUCCUUCCCUCGGUCAAAGAGGAUGACCAUCCCCAAUGGAGAAGGACCAUUCUUCAGUCAAGGGUAGUCAAUCCAAACCAGCUCUCAAGGCCACUCCUUGACCCACCAGCACCUGUCUACCUGGGAGGCUCAAGUU